rnacentral:lncRNA from 1 species
AGCCAAGAGGAACGCACUCCAGGAGGGAAGUAUGAUCUCUUAGGAGCAAAAGAUGGAGGUCCGUGGUAUGAACACAGUGAACUCCAGUAUAGCAACAGCCUUUACUGGCCUCAUGCAGUGCUCUCAGGAACAGUGUGUGCUGUCUGGCUGCCUCCUCUGGGGACCCACCAGGCACCAAUGAGAACAGCCUGGUUUGGAGAUCCUUCCAGAAAGUUCUGUUAGCCUUGUGAUGGGCAGCAAGGACAGCACUUUAGUUUUUUUAUGAAAUGAUAGGACACCGAGUGGAGGCAAGAAGAAGGAUCAAAGAUUUGGGGUAGGAAUUUCAGCUGCAAACAUUCCCGAUCCUGUUUGCAGGAACUGCAGCCUCCAGGAGAUUCAACCUGCUCUCCAAGCCAUCCCUGUCCCUGCCGGACUCCAACAGCAGCUGUGAUCUGGAGUUUGUCCAUUAGACCAGACCAAGUGGCCAGUGAACUGCAGGGACCCGCCCGUCUCUGCCACCUCAGUCUCUGCUGGGAUUGCAGGAGUAUGCACCAUGCCCAUCUUUUCAUGGGGGUUCUGGGAACAAGCUCCAUUUCUCGAGAUG